GCUAAAACGUUGUUAUUCACUAAAAUAAACAAUCUUGACUAUGCAGAAUGACGAUUCGACUAAAUUUAUUUCAUAUUAUUAUUUAUAACGAUUACUAUACACGCGGAAGUCGUUAAUAAUCAAAUAGAAAUAAAAAUAUACAUAAGAAAUAAUGUAAGAUUAAUUCGUCUCUUCCGAUUGGUGACCACGUUUCAUUGUAAAUACAUCCUUUACGAAUGGUCAAAGCUUUUGUCUAUUUCGGCAUAAUGAACGUAAGGGUCGAAUGGGGUGCAAAAGGGUUCGACGAAAAGUGUAACGUGGUUGGAGGAUAGCCAGUGGAUGGAGGAUGCAAUUCCUCGGUCGAUAUUCUGGCACGACAGGGGAUGCCGGUUAGGGCCAGACUUGGCUCCCUCUAGGGCGUUGUUGUAAACGUCUCUUGUGUGUGGCACAAGGUCAAACGGAAGAUGAUUCACCGAUGAGGAGCGACAUGGUCGAUUGUUUAACUGUUGAGUAUACUAAUCGUUUACAUGUACAACUUUAUAUUAUUUAAUGAUUUAACUGUACUAAAAGGACAGUAAAUAUUCAAUCCUUACUACAAAAAAGGCGUUUUCUUCACGAGGAUCUCAAAUGCAUGAUGAAAAGUGCAAUGAAAUAAAUUAAUUAAAGAAGAUUAAUAGCUACAUUUUAAAUGGUAAUACGAAAGAGAAAAGGUUAGACGAUUAUGAAUAAGGAAUACCGAGUAAAAUUAAUCAUCGCAUUGCUAAGGAUAAUCAGCUUAUUCAUCACGUUUAUGAAGGCGUCAGUGAACUUUGAGAGUCACUGGCCUGCAAGAACCGACCUCCUUACGGGCUCAUUGAAUUUUUCCCUCUCUACCAGAACUCUUGUAGUUCACUGUCAUCCUCGAAGCAAAAGAGUGGGAGAGGGUUAGUUUCGCAAGGAAACUCAGCUCUUCAUUACCAAGGAUACAGCGUCUAUCGGUAGCUAGCAUAAAUAUUUAAAAUGUAUUCGGAGAACGGUAGUUACUACUUGUGCCAGUUUCACAUGGUUAAUUUUCUGUCGCCAAUUUGCCGGAAACGGAACGCGACUACUUAAUGAAUUCUUCCGGAACUUCGAUAGAUGCAUCGCACACAUGACUAAUCGUUCUAUGAACAUGAAUCUUUAAUUGCUAAAGAAAGCUUAAAGAUAUUUGAAAAAAAAACACUGACAGUUUUAUUAACUGCGACUUUCACAACAGCUUUCAUAUAUGGAAUAUAAUUACAAUUAAUAAAUAAUACUUUAUUUGAACGAAAA